ACACUUAAUCAAAUGCACUCAUCUGAAGUUAUGGUAUUCCACGUGUUAAGGAGUUUCAUUUGUGUUUAACACAUUUUCACCCCUAAUUGCUAGGGUUUAGACUUAGGUUUCCCACUUUAUAUUCAGUAUCAAUUUUUGCUCUUCAUAGCUUUCAACGGUUGGAAUGGAAUAGGGCAUCUUCUUCAGGGAUCAUUGUCUUGUAAAGUGGUUGGUAAUAAAGAAGUGAAGCUGAAAAGUCAUCAGGAAGGUUCACUGUGUUGCCAAGACGAACAUAGGAAGAAGAUGAAGUCCGCCAAUGCUCCAAAAUCCAAGCAGGACUAAGUAGAACACACGUAACUAGCGCUAACCUUUUGGCCAGCAUACACAACAACGGUCCACUUUCAAGACAUGGUUUUUUUGGCUGCAAUCUUAGUGAAUCACCAUCACUUCUUUUGCUGAUGCACCUUUCAUUACCAUCUAUAAAUGGUCCACUCCACUUUUGAAGUCAUGCUUUGUGGGAUGCAAUCCAUGUGAACCACUAUCACUUCUUUGGCUUCACCUCCUUUAGUUAGUUAUCAUGUAUAUAAAUGUUAGCUGACAGUACAUAUAAAAAUAAUCAAAUGUAUGCUGGCAUAAUCUUUGGUAUGUAAACAUCUCAAUGUAUAAUUGUGCUUUAUAAUUUAGCAGUCUACGUAGCCGUCCGCAGCGAAGCGCGGGUACCUCUACUAGUUAAUAAACGAACUGAAAUGAAUAGUGAUUUUAAUA